AGAGCGAACGCUGGCGGCAGGCCUAACACAUGCAAGUCGAGCGCCCGUAGCAAUACGGGAGCGGCAGACGGGAUAGUAACACGUGGGAACGCGCCCUUCGGUUCGGAAUAACUCAGGGAAACUUGAGCUAAUACCGAAUACGCCCUUACGGGGAAAGAUUUAUUGCCGAAGGAACGGCCCGCGUCCGAUUAGCUAGUUGGUGAGGUAAUGGCUCACCAAGGCUACGAUCGGUAGCUGGUCUGAGAGGAUGACCAGCAUCACUGGGACUGAGACACGGCCCAGACUCCUACGGGAGGCAGCAGUGGGGAAUAUUGGACAAUGGGCGCAAGCCUGAUCCAGCCAUGCCGCGUGGAUGAUGAAGGCCUUAGGGUGUAAAGUCCUUUUAACGGGGAGAUAAUGACGGUACCCGUAGAAUAAGCCCCGGCUAACUUCGUGCCAGCAGCCGC
rnacentral:rRNA from 1 species